rnacentral:misc_RNA from 1 species
UCUCCGUAGGUGAACCUGCGGAGGGAUCAUUACAACGUAUCCACGUAUAAACCUCUGUGAACGUGUUCGUUUAAUUAUUUAAUUAAACACACAAAUCUGUUUUUGUGGGAUGAGAUGUCAAAGUCUCUUCUUCGCAUUAACAACCCCUUUACUUAUUAACCAUUUGUAAAUUAUUUUUAAUGCUAUUUUUCAGUUUAACCACUGAAAUCUAAAACAAUAUAAAAUUUGUUUAAGCACAACUCUUAGCAACGGAUAUCUAGGCUCUCGCAUCGAUGAAGAACCAGC